rnacentral:lncRNA from 1 species
CCGCCGCAUCCGUGGGGAGCGCGCCUAGGUUCGUCCUGGUCGCCGGUAAUGCUUGCUAGCUGUUCUUGUCGUGUGAUCCUGGUGUGUGCCUGGUGCUUCUGUUUGUCGGUGUCGAUAUGAUGUGUCAUCUGGUCCUAUGUAUGGUGAUGGUCGAAUGAAAUUGCAAUGGAAAGUUCAGUUAUCGAUCUGAUGCUCGAAUGAAUUUAAUUCUGCUUGUAAAUUACUCCGUGAUUCUGCAAUGGUGUUCUUGUCACGUGUACCAAGUUGUUGCCGUGAUGGAAUUAGAAGAUAUGCUGUGUCCCAUGGGCUUCUUGAUUUUGCUGGGGCGCUCUGUUAUUUUUUGUUUGUCGCUGCGUGAUUCAGUUUCUUUGCAUGUUUGUACAGGCAUUUGGUUAACUCAUUUCAGCUUAAGCCUCUGUCUGAUGUGAUUCUGAACUAUGGUAGGGCUAGUUGAUAGCUGAAGGUGAAGUCACGACAUGUGUUGUGAUUCUGAAAUAUGUCUCGUCCGGCCGCCAUGGUUCCAUCCUGUUGAUCCUGAUUGGAUUCGAUCCGUUCUGUUAUUCUAGUCCACCCGUGCUUCGAGUUGUUACUGCUAGGUUCUAGUUGAUGUAAUGGUCGUUUGCUGUUGAUUACCAGUUGGAAAAUUGCAAUGGAAGCUGUCUAUUUUAUCCCCAUUUCUGAGAUCUUAUGAAUUGAAUUCCGUGAUUGGAUGCUUUCUUCGGUGUAUGAUACCAACGAUUUUCUCGUACUGAAUUUUUCUGGGUUGCGCAUCAGAAAUUCUAUUGCAACUGACAAUUACCGUAGGGAUUACGUUUUCUUGUUCAUGUUGGUGUGAUCCGUUUACUGCCAUCCAUUUAAUCUCACAAGUUCACAACAAGUGGUACAUAGGCAAACAAGUUCCCUACCAUUCAUUCUUUUCAGCUGUUAACUGAAAGAUUGUGUAGUUUGGUGGUGUCAGCAACACUGUCUCUGAAUAAACUUGUUGUGAUGCUGGUUACUGUGAGGCUACCUCUGGCAAAGUUUUGAAAGAUCUGUCGGUGGAUCUGAGUAGGAGCCACUCAUCACCGCGGAUGCUAAGUAUUUUCUGCAAGUUUUGUGGCAUGGAUUCUGUCCCAGCUCACAUAAUUCUGCAAUGCUGCUGUUUAAAAUCUUUUGUGUGAUGGUCUAGUUAGGUGUGUCCUUGCAAAUAAGGCGACCACCAAUUUGUUUCCUGCAGUCUGGGAGUACCUGCAUUUGCAUGAUGUAGCCGAUACCAUAUUUUUGGGCAGGCAAAAGGCCCAUCAGAUGCAUUUUAUUUGCAUGAUGUACACUAAGUUUCAGAUUGUUAGGCUUCACAACCAGUUACAUGGAUGCGGAGGCAUGACCGAUAGCCUCUGCAGAAGACUACAGGUAUUGAUAUGAGAAGCAUUCAAAGUUUCAAACAGGUUACAUGUAGAACUGAUUGCUGGGCUGCUCUAGCAAAACCAUCAGCUACUUUGUGUUGAUUCCUGUGAAGAUAAGUGAAUAGCUUUGCAAUAAGCAAUUGUUGGACGAAGUCUCCAGUUCAUUGUUGCCUGUUGUCGUUGUUGAUCAUGUACAGCCCAGGAGAGUUUUUUGGUUGUCCACCAAGAUGCAACAAUGUUGUACCUGCAAAAAAGUUAUGGCAUCCACCCGUAAGAGGAGGCUAAUAGAUUCAGCAUGGGCAGGGGGGAAGCAUUCAGAGAUGGUGGCCUGUAUAUUAAUCUUUGUGUAAUGAGAGGAAGAGUUGAGGCACAAGUGAGACAAGUGUAUUCCUAUGCCUGUGAUUGUAUUAAGCAUCAGUAAAGCAGAGGUUUCCACUCAAGGAGUGAAAACCUCCGCUUUACUCUUUUUUCUUUUUUCUUUUACUCGCAAAAAAAAGUAAAGCAGAGGUUUCCUUGGUUUCAGGAAGAGUGGACGAUAUACAAGUGUAUAACUAUAGACAUGUUUUGUUCAGUGAGAUUAUUCAUUACAUACCACCAAAUCUUCAAAUCUCUGGUUAUAUGAAUGGAAAUCACGAAACUUUCACUCUGAAUCUGCUUCGGUGUUUAAUUUCUUUGCCGCUAGAUCUUUUCUGAGUAAAUAAGACACCCAUUUGGCUGUUAAAGAAAGAGACACCCAGUUGAUUGCUGCAAUCUGGUAGAGCAUUUUGGUGAUGCAGAUUUAUUCUUCUCUUUGGGUGAAUAUUCUAUUUUUUCUUGGGCACUUUUGUGUUUUUUGGGCAUUCAUCCUAGAUAGGCCCGUGUUUUGUAACUUGAGUUCAACUGGGCUUUAAAAAUGUUUGCUUCUUAGAGGCCCACUCUCUAGAGUGCAGAUUCUUCUAUCUUAUCAAGCAGCGGGUGUGGCUAUGCGCCACGCUUAAUGUGGGAGGUCCUAUUUGCAGCUCUUUCAAAGAUAAAAACACAAAAUGCCGCACAAUCGCUUAGGCGAGUGACACGGCUAACCCGUUUAAGCUUCGCUUGCCUUAUUUUCAUUUGGUACGUUUUCUCGUUCCCGUGCAAUUUUAGUCCUUUUCUCAGAAAAUGUUUUUUUAAAAAUGUUCAAGAAUUUAGAGAAAAGCAGGAUAUUAUUUUUUUAGUAAAUUUUAGAAAUGUAUUCAGAAAAUAAAAAGUGUUGUUAACUUUUUAAAAAGUGGCCACAAAUAUUAGAAAAUAGUUCUCCAAAUUUAAAAUCCAAGAAAAUUUCAUAUACUUUUCUCAAUAUUUAUUAAAAAUAAUUUUAAAAUCCCAUUUUUUUAAUUCCGAUUUUAACAAAUGUUGUUAGUUGCAUUCUAACACAAGUAGCUAAAUAUUCCCUCCGUCCCAAAAUAUAAAAACGUUUUUUACACUAGCAUAGUGUCAAAAACGUUCUUAUAUUUCGGGACAAAGGGAGUACUUGUGCGUUGUAACAAAACACGUUUACUCUCUGGAACCUCCUGUGUUGAGCACGAUACGCUCCUCGUGCAGAAGUUUCGAUGAAUGCAUCGCGUGCAGUACUUGUAGGCACCGCCCUGGACCCCUGGUUGUGGUCCAUGCAUGCAUCGUUCUUUUCACGUUCAUCUCCAAAGGAUUAAUUAAAGACAUUUUUUAGUGAGUACAAUAAGUAGUGAUCUAAGUAUUUUUAUUUUUUUUAUGAAGGAGGCAUCUCCAAAGGAUUAAUUAAAGUACUUGUAGGCAUCUCCAAAGGAUUAAUUAAAGUGACGCACGCCUGAACCUGUCGUCGGCCGGCAUUGCUCCCCGUUUGAAUAGUUUAUGGGCCGAUCAAGCGAUAGAUGAUAUGGUGACAACUUAUAGCACACACGUUCCGCCGCGCCGUUUUGUCAGAUCGUUUGUUGUGAGACUCGAUGCACUGCUUGAUUAUUUGGUUCGUUGACACAAACCAAAAUGCAUUCAUUGAUUCAUUUGCACAUGCAAAAAAUGCAGAGUUAGAACACAGGGAAAUUCAAAGAGCAUGUAAACUUCUCUUACCAUGGUGUAUUUUAUAAUGCUAGUACUAAAAGUAUGCAAAAAACUUUUCCAAGUUGUCUUGAACUAUGCCAUCCAUCAACACCAUGGAUCUGAAUCCAUUCUCAAACAAUCUUUGGUCCAUUUGCACUGGAAAUCACCUCACAUAUUAGCUGGUGUAUUUUACUAGCCUACUCAACAACCAAGUACUGUAUGAUCUUUUUCUUCAGCGUUGUUGAAGUUGACUGCCAGCAACACACGCCUUGGCGUUGGAAAAACUCAACGAUCACAUGAUCAACGCCAUAGUCUUUGGCGCUAAGCCGCCAGAUACAAACACGCCGGAUUGCAUAGCAUUGAACCGUGUUACAGCAAUGGGAUCGCCUGCAGGAUGAAUUAAAUUAAAAGUAUACAAAUAAGAGUUAUCCUGAGCACUUGUAGAACAAGCUGAAGGUUGUGGCUUUGGUAUAAGUUGGGGGCGGUGACCCACAUUGCGAAAGGAAAUUAAUGAAGGAUUCUUUCUUAGCCCAUAGCUGCAUUUGUCCCUUUCUUUCUUUUUCCUUUGCUUUUAUGCAUUCCUUCUUGUACAGGCAACCAGGCAUCGGUUCUUCUUACUCCCUCCGUUCCUAAAUACUUGUCUUUUUAGAGAUUUUAACAAGUGACUACAUACGGCGCAAAUACACUUUAAAAUAUGUCUACAUACAUUCGUAUGUUGAGUCCAUUUGAAAUGCCUAGAAAGACAAGUAUUUGGGAACGGAGGGAGUAGAUUUUUGCAUGCUCAUGCCCCACGCUGACAACUUUGACAAGAACUUUGAUAAGCACUAAUGUCUGCCUGCCAUGUAACCUUUAGGAUCCCAGAAAAACCACAUGUUUUGGUCUUUUGGAUGCGCUGAGCAGGCAAAAAAGCCUGGGAAUCAAUAGAGAGCCAGGAGGAUUUUACGAGCCAGCGCAGGAAGAGCGUGAAAGCCUAGUUGACACCAAAGUAGGACUGUAGGAGGGCCAAGCAGCAGGGUUUUGGUGACCAGGGAGGCCGAUGCGCGCGGCAUCGAUCUUCAUGGAGGGCCUGUAUCAGUCAUGUAAAAAUAGCAAAAAGUAAUAGUAAAAUCCAAUGCCAAGGUGUGGGGUUCGUAGCUACCUUCAAUGCCCAGGUGGCAGGCAGUAAGUAGAAGAGUGAGAUAUCCUUGUAGCCCGCACACUUUGUGCGACAUUUUUAUUUUAUUUUACGGAAAGAACUUCCGAUAUAUUCAUCAACUAUCAAGUCAGUACAAAGAACACUAGAGGUAACAUAGAUUACAUUUCAUUAUGCAGUUUCCAUAAUUCUAAGGUUGGCUAUGAUUUCUAUAUGUUUAGAUCGAUGUAGCUAGCCUCUAACCUAAAAGAAUACCUAAUCUUCAUGCUCGAGUAGUUAACGGAACAAAGGGUUUUCUUACUCCCCAAGAAGCAACUCCCAGGUGACUAGCAGCUGUUUCGGGCCAUCCAGCCCAUGGUGACGGACGACAGGAGAAGCGAUGCGGAUGCGGGAUACGUCGUCCACUCACCGGUCACCACCAACCGGGUCACAUGCGCAUCUGCGGCAGCACGCACCGCGUGGGGACGACCCCAUAUGCCCUCACAUAGCAAUGCAGAAAGCUCGUGGCGACGAGGAGGAUGCCAAAGCUACUGCUCACUUCCUUGCGGCUUGAGAGGUCAACACAGACAACACUGGCAUCAUCAUUGUUCAUAUACAGUCCACAAAAAGAAGGUCCUGCUUCUUGGGAGUCGUGCUUGGUCUCCUCCUCGUCUCCGCGAGCUUCGAAACAGAACCCGGGGGGCUUCUGUUCGAGAGGAGCCCUUCUUCCCUGCUGGUUGGACCGGGUGAUGGAUCGUUGUAUUGCCUUUCCUAUCGAUUUUUCAUCUACAAAAACACUUCUGCUUUCUUCUUCUCCACUGGCCCUCUGAAAAUCAUCUCCCUCUUGUUCGUGGAUCGUGAAGAAGGUCCGUAGCCGACGAGUACUGCUUUCUUCUUCACCUUUUGGGUUCCUCGAUUUUGCAUCUUUUGCGUUCCCGGCAUUGGAAUUUCUGUGUCACCCCAGAGUAAUUUCAUGGAAUUUAGCCUCUCUAAUGUUGAUUCAGGACUAGUGUUUUUAGUAUUCCAUUCUACUUUAUUGAUAGAAAAGUUCGUGGACCAUGGUCUGUCCGCUCUUAUUCUUAAUACUAUUGGGUCUAACCUAAGUUAAUAUAGCGAUUUGUAGUGCCCAGUGUAUAGUAAAAGGUCUAGUGUACAGUAAUUGGUCUAGGACAAAGUAGUCUCUUCUCUAUUCUCUUGGCGCUAAUGCUACCAUCUCACUUCGCAGUGGUGAACCACGUGGUCAUCACUAAAAAGAGGACAUGUACUUAGUUCCUAUUUUUGCACAUCAACAGAACUUCCAGUACGAACAUUCAUGAAAAAUAUGGAAAAUAAUAAGAAAAGAAAAUCCAGCAUCAUGUUGGUGUAUGUGUUCAUGUCAAUUUUCACACAAGAGGAAUAUUUUUGUGUCCUCACCAAAUAAAUCUGGUGCCUAAAAUAGAAAGAUUUUGAAUGUUAAACACAAGUCACAAUAUUCAUGUCUUCUCCACUACGAUUUGUUUUCCGUGAUUUUUUUCAAUUAUAUUUCAGUGCAUACAUCGAGGCACAUUAAAAAGAUCUAAAUAAGUCAAGAGAAAUGGAGAUGACAGUGAAUAUUGUUUUAGAGGAUUGUUUUUUGAAACACCUGUGGAAUUCAACAUUUUCGCUGCUUUGUCUGGUAGUAACUAUUUUCUUGUUCAUGAUUGGCGCAGGGCUGCAACGAGACCCGAUCCAGCCUGGAGUGCAAUACAUAUGGGUUCCCUCACAAGUAAAUUCUCUCCUCACUUUCUCUUGUUACUCCCUCCAUGUCACAAAAAUACAUGUCGUUUUGGAUACUAGCACGGUCUUCAAGAUUUAAAUUUUCACCACUAAUUUUUACUAUGGUGUAUAUAUAACUCAAGAAACUGAUUAUAUCAUACAUAUACUUUUCGAGAUCAAUCUGAACAUUUGAUUUGCAAGUUUUUAAUCUCAGACAAUAUAUAUAGUCAAGGUUUUUAAAUUGACUUAAAACACGUCCAGAACGACAUGUAUUUGUAUUUUGUGAUAUGGAGAGAGUACGUAGCUAAAAACUAAAUUAACUUCAUGUUAAAUCAUUUCUUAAACUAUAAUCAUUGUUACCUUUUGACCAUGCACAACUGGAAUCUGGGAAUAAUCUCAUCUCACUAUUGUUGCAACUGCACAUCAGGUUCUUGGGUGAUGGACUUGUGUGGCAGACCAAUAUGCUCCAACCAAGAUGUGGCAUCAUGUGCUUUAAAGGAAAUAUUCAACUCCUCUACCUGCAUUAAUCACCUAGUGGCGACCGGUGUCGUCGCACUGCUCGUGUUUGUGCUCAUGCUCCAGUUGCUAGUCAAAAUUCCAAAUAGCAGAGUGUCCGCGCGACAGCUCGUCUCGCUCAGCUCACUGCUGCACUUCUCCGCCAUGGUGUUCAAUGGCUGCCUGGGUUUGGUUUAUUUCGGGCUAGGACUGUGGAUGCUGGGGACUGGAUUCAAUCAGGAUGCUUCCGUUGUUUACCUUCCACAUUGGUGGCUUGUAACAUUAUCUCAAGGAUUGAAUCUGGUCCUUGCCAGCUUCGCUUUCAGCACCAGGCCUCUGUUUCUUGGGGCAGCGUUUGUUAGAUUUUGGCCGGUCCUGCUGACCAUCUGCGCAGCAUUCAUCUGUUGUUCUUCGGUUGUUAAUAUUGUUGCAGAGAAGACGAUCACCAUUAAGGCUUGUUCAGAUGUUCUGUCCCUACCAGGUGCAGUUCUCCUCCUCCUUUAUGGCAUUCGGCACAGCCAUGAUGAAGAGGGUUAUGGAGGAAGUGGAAAUGGUUUAUACAAGCCCCUGCACACGGAGACAGACAUUGAGGUAGCUGACUCUGAAAGUCAGGUAACUCCCUUUGCUAAAGCUGCUUUUUUCAGCAAGAUGACAUUUUGGUGGUUGAAUCCUCUGAUGAAGAUGGGGUAUGAAAAGCCCCUUGAGGACAAAGACAUGCCACUUUUAGGCGCCACAGAUCGAGCGCGCAACCUGUAUGUGAUGUUCAUGGAGAAGCUCAAUGACAAGAAGCAGCCGCCGUCGCACCCCACACCAUCAUUCUUCUGGACUAUUGUUUCUUGCCACAAGCGUGCCAUCUUGGUCUCGGGUUUCUUUGCUUUGCUCAAGGUUCUGUCCUUAUCCACAGGCCCAAUACUUCUUAGGGAAUUCAUCAAUGUAUCACUUGGGAAAUGCACCUUUAAAUAUGAAGGAUAUGUACUUGCUGUGGUAAUAUUUGUCUGCAAAUGCUGUGAAUCCUUCUCACAGAGACAGUGGUAUUUCCGCACCAGGAGAUUAGGACUGCAGGUGAGGUCACUCCUAUCAGCAGCAAUUUACAAGAAACAACAGAGGCUAACAAAUGCAGCAAAAAUGAAGCACUCUACUGGAGAAAUUAUGAACUAUGUGACCGUCGAUGCCUAUCGGAUUGGGGAAUUCCCAUACUGGUUCCACCAAACAUGGACAACAAUUGUUCAGCUUUGCAUUGCCCUGGCAAUUCUGUACCAUGCGGUCGGUGCUGCAAUGGUUUCGUCAUUGGUUGCCAUCAUUAUCACCGUACUCUGCAAUGCUCCAUUGGCCAAACUGCAACACAGAUUUCAGAGUAAACUUAUGGAAGCACAAGAUGAGAGAUUGAAGACCAUGUCCGAGUCACUAGUUCACAUGAAGGUCUUGAAACUUUAUGCAUAGGAAGCUCACUUCAAGAAGAUCAUCGAGGGGUUGAGGGAGGUUGAGUACAAGUGGUUGUCAGCAUUCCAGCUUAGUAGGGCGUACAACAGCUUCCUGUUCUGGGCAUCACCUGUCCUGGUUUCAGCAGUGACCUUUCUAACAUGCUAUCUUCUGAAAAUUCCUCUUGAUGCUAGCAAUGUGUUCACCUUCGUGACAACUCUACGUCUUGUGCAAGACCCAGUUAGGUCAAUACCCAAUGUAAUUGCAGUUGUGAUACAAGCUAAGGUUGCUUUCACCCGGAUAUCAAAGUUCCUUGAUGCACCUGAGCUAAACAGGCAAGUUAGGAAGAAAUACUAUGUUGGCAUUGAUUACCCUAUAGCGAUGAAUUUGUGUAUCUUCUCUUGGGAUGAAAGUACAUCAAAACCAACCCUAAAGAAUAUAAAUCUGAUAGUCAAAGCUGGAGAAAAGGUAGCAAUUUGUGGAGAGGUAGGUUCAGGAAAGUCAACGCUUUUGUCUGCUGCACUCAGAGAGGUCCCCAAAAUUGAAGGCACGGUAUGUUUCUUUACUAACAUCAUCUUUUGAUGAAAGUUUGCAAAGUUGUUAUGAAAAUUAGGCUUGGCAAUAUUUCCAACAUGAAGUACAUUAAUCAUUUUUUUCAUAACAUCCUAACAUCAAAUUCUUGAUCUUUGCAUAAACAUUUCAGAUCAAAAUCUCUGGGAAAAUAGCAUAUAUUUCUCAGAAUGCAUGGAUCCAAACAGGAACCGUGCAAGACAAUAUUCUCUUUGGAUCGUCGAUGGUCAGGGAAAGAUACAACAACACACUGGCGAGGUGCUCAUUGGUCAAGGACCUUGAAAUGUUGCCAUAUGGGGAUUGUACCCAAAUUGGGGAGAGAGGAGUAAAUCUUAGUGGUGGUCAGAAGCAGCGUGUCCAGCUUGCUCGUGCACUAUACCAAAAUGCAGACAUCUAUCUUCUUGAUGAUCCUUUCAGUGCUGUUGAUGCCCAUACAGCCACAAGUAUAUUCAAUGUAAGGAUCAUAUUCAACAGAUGCAGAUUGUAUUACUAUUUGGUUGUGAACUUCUUUACAAAGCUCUUUGUAACAGGAAUAUGUCAUGAGUGCUCUAUCAGACAAGACUGUUCUCUUGGUGACCCACCAAGUGGAUUUGUUACCUGCAUUUGACUCCAUUUUGGUACCUCUAUCCACUUCGAAAAAGUCAGCAUUUGAUGAUAUUUGUGCCUGUAUAAUUUAUAUUUGUAUGUAAUGAGCUUUAUUUAUUUGUGGAUUCGUCUAAAAUUUGCGAUGAUUUUUUGCAGUUAAUGUCAGAUGGAGAGGUUAUCCAGUGUGCACCUUAUCAAGAUUUAUUGGCAGAUUGUGAAGAAUUUAAAAACCUUGUCACAGCCCAUAAAGAUACUACUGGUGCAUCGUAUCUUAAUAACAAUAUACCACCUCAAAGAUCUAAGGAAGUAUCAAUAAAGGAGACAGACGGUAUUCAUGGAAGCGGAUAUACAGAGUCUAUGAAGCCAUCGCCGGCAGAUCAACUGAUCAAGAAAGAGGAAAGAGAAAAGGGGGAUUCAGGUGUUAAGCCUUAUAUGCUUUAUCUGUGCCAGAACAAAGGCUUCCUGUAUUUCUCCUUUUGUGUUAUUUUUCACAUAAUUUUCGUAGCUGGGCAAAUAUCACAGAAUUCAUGGAUGGCUGCUAAUGUCCAGAAUCCUCAUGUUAGUAUGCUGAAGUUAAUUUCUGUGUACAUUAUAAUUGGAGUUUGCACAAUGUUGUUCAUGCUAUCAAGAUCUUUAGUAGUCGUCGUUCUUGGGAUCCAGACAUCAAGAUCCUUAUUUCCCCAAUUGCUCAAUUCAUUGUUCCGUGCACCAAUGUCCUUUUUUGAUUCUACUCCUGUAGGAAGGGUUCUUAGCCGGGUAAGAAUUCUUAAACAAAUGGCAAAUACAACAAAGUACAAUCUGUUUUACACCCAGAGAUUUUUUUCCUGAUGGAUUAACUUGUUCUCUUUUUUCUUUUAAUGCAGGUCUCUUCAGAUUUGAAUAUCAUUGACCUCGAUCUUCCAUUUGCCUUCGUGUUUAGCCUUGGUGAUACCUUAAAUGCAUAUAGCAAUCUAGGGGUAUUGGCUGUUGCUACAUGGGAAGUUUUAUUUGUAUCUGUGCCAAUGAUAGUUUUGGCAAUUAGGUUGCAGGUAAUUGGUAUGACUUUGUUACUUUAUGGCUCUCAUUUCUGUCAUUAUUUGAUUAGAUUUACCAAUUGAUGUUCUCUGCUGCUAUUUUUGUCUGGGGUGAAUGAGCCUACAGUUUUGUAUUCAAAAUUAUCAUUAACUGAAACCUAUUAUGUUUGGUCAUGUAGAGGUACUAUCUAGCCUCGGCCAAGGAGCUGAUGCGGAUCAAUGGUACUACCAAGUCCGCUCUGGUGAAUCACUUAGGUGAAUCGAUUUCAGGGGCUAUAACAAUAAGGGCCUUUGGGGAAGAAGAUCGUUUCUUUGCUAAAAAUUUGGAUCUUAUUGACAAGAAUGCCUGUCCAUAUUUCUGUAAUUUUGCCGCAACUGAAUGGUUGAUUCAACGCCUGGAAAUAAUGAGCGCCUCCGUGCUUUCUUUUUCUGCCUUUGUCAUGGCUCUUCUUCCUCAAGGAACUUUUAGCCCUGGUAAGAAACUGUAUGAACACCAUGCUGCUUCAAUUGGACAAAAUUGAGUAGCCAGCUUGUUCUAAGGCCAUCGGUGCUUACAACUAAUUUGCGAUAAGUGUUAGAUGCAUUGCCAUGUAAAUGUUGCUACCUUUUCAUAUCUUUUGUCAUGACAGCAUACUUAUACUCCCUCCACGCCUAAAUAGAUAACAUUUUGGACAUGACAUGGGUCUCCAACAAAUUUAUUUGACUGUUACUUUUGUUAUGUGCAUGUUUGUAGAGAACUACUCCCUCCGUUCCAAAAUAUUAGUCUUUCUAGAGAUUCCAAUAGGUGACUACAUACGGAGCAAAAUGAGUGAAUCUACACUCUAAAAUAUGUCUACAUACAUCCGUAUAUUGUAGUCCUUUUGAAAUGUCUAAAAAGACUUAUAUUUCGCAACGGAGGGAGUAGAAAAAAAAUAUUAUGAAAAAAAUAUUGAUAAAGAAUAUGAUAGUACUCAAAGUUAGAAAAGCUUUACUUGCUAGUGAAGUUAGAAAUGUUUAAAUGAACACUUUUUAGAAUGUCUUGUGUUUACGAGAGGUAGUAAUGUCCAGGCAGAACACGGUGAAUAAAAAACACCAUGCGUUUCUCAAGCUACCACUUGCUCUGGUGAUUUUAUGGAUGCGUUUUUAUCUUUUAUGAAAAUGUAUUUUAAGUCCUAAUGCUUAUGUGCCGGAGUCAACUAAAUAAGUAUUUGAUGCUAUACCGUUUAUGAAUAGCACCAUUACAAAUAGUAGAAUUAAUUCAUUGCUUUCGUACAUGCACAGGUUUUGUGGGAAUGGUAUUGUCCUAUGGUCUUUCGCUAAAUGUGUCCUUUGUUUGCUCUAUUCAAAACCAAUGCAACCUUGCGAAUCAGAUAAUAUCAGUGGAACGGGUGAACCAGUACAUGGACAUACAAAGUGAAGCAACGAAAGUUAUUGAAGAAAAUCGGCCAUUGCAAGAUUGGCCCCAAGAUGGCUAUGUGGAACUUAGAGAUUUGAAGGUAAUCAAAUAUAAAUAUUUACAUGUACACCUAACAGUACUAACAAAUUUAAGCGAUUAAUUUUCAUUCAACAGAUCAGGUAUAGGAAAGAUACUCCCCUUGUACUACAUGGAAUCACUUGCAAGUUCCAAGCUGGAGAUAAGAUUGGUAUAGUUGGUCGGACAGGAAGUGGCAAGACAACGUUAAUUGGUACAUUGUUUCGUCUUAUUGAACCUGAUGAAGGGAAAAUAAUUAUAGACUCUAUGGACAUCGGUACGAUAGGGUUACAUGACCUGCGUUCGCGUUUGGGUAUCAUUCCACAAGAUCCAACACUUUUUCAUGGUACAGUAAGAUACAAUCUAGAUCCUCUUGGACAAUUCUCAGAUCAGCAAAUAUGGGAGGUAAGAUUUACCCUGCUAUCUAUGUUGAUUUUUCUCAUUUUACCCAAUGAUCAGAUAAUAUUAUGAUGAAAAGGUAUUAGAUCAAAACAACCUGCUAUAAUGUUUAAUCAUGUGACAGUCAUCUUUAGUACCGUGUCAAUUCAACUUAGUUACUUUGACAUUCUGUCCGAAAAUAUAGUGCACAUUCGAAUUUUUUUAAGUCAAAAUUUGUAAGCUUUGACCAAGUUUAUACAAAAAUUUAUCAACAUGUAAAAUACCAAAUCAAUGCCAUUGGAUUCAUCACAUAAUUUAUUUUCAUCUGGUAUAUAUUAGGUAUUGUGUGGUCAAAGUUUGUGAAGCUUGACUUUCAUGAAUUACCCGCAAAAAAAAAAA